UACGAAGGGUGCAAACGUUGCUCGGAAUCAUUGGGCGUAAAGCGCACGUAGGCGGCUUCGCAAGUCGGAUGUGAAAUCCCUCGGCUCAACCGAGGACGUGCAUACGAAACUGCGGAGCUUGAGUGCUGAAGAGGAUCGCGGAAUUCCCGGUGUAGAGGUGAAAUUCGUAGAUAUCGGGAGGAACACCAGUGGCGAAGGCAGCUCGCUGGGACGGUACUGACGCUGAGACGCGAAAGCGUGGGGAGCAAACAGG
rnacentral:rRNA from 1 species